rnacentral:rRNA from 1 species
CCUACGGGAGGCAGCAGUGGGGAAUAUUGCACAAUGGGCGCAAGCCUGAUGCAGCAACGCCGCGUGAGGGACGACGGCCUUCGGGUUGUAAACCUCUUUUAGUAGGGAAGAAGCGAAAGUGACGGUACCUGCAGAAAAAGCACCGGCUAACUACGUGCCAGCAGCCGCGGUAAUACGUAGGGUGCAAGCGUUGUCCGGAAUUAUUGGGCGUAAAGAGCUCGUAGGCGGUUUGUCGCGUCUGCUGUGAAAACCCGAGGCUCAACCUCGGGCCUGCAGUGGGUACGGGCAGACUAGAGUGCGGUAGGGGAGAUUGGAAUUCCUGGUGUAGCGGUGGAAUGCGCAGAUAUCAGGAGGAACACCGAUGGCGAAGGCAGAUCUCUGGGCCGUAACUGACGCUGAGGAGCGAAAGCAUGGGGAGCGAACAGGAUUAGAUACCCUGGUAGUCCAUGCCGUAAACGUUGGGAACUAGAUGUAGGGACCAUUCCACGGUUUCUGUGUCGCNGCUACGCAUAGUUACCCGUCCGUCGGGUAGGUACGGCCGCGACGACGUAAACGUACGUAAGUAAGUAGUUAGCGUGUUAGAGAGCGACGACGACGACGACGGAGGAGG